UACAGAGGUCUCAAGCGUUGUUCGGAUUCAUUGGGCGUAAAGGGUGCGUAGGCGGCGCGGUAAGUCGGGUGUGAAAUCUCGGAGCUUAACUCCGAAACUGCAUUCGAUACUGCCGUGCUUGAGGACUGGAGAGGAGACUGGAAUUUACGGUGUAGCGGUGAAAUGCGCAGAUAUCGGGAAGAACACCCGGUGGCGAAGGCGGUUCUCUGGGGACGGUACUGACGCUGAGACGCGAAAGCGUGGGGAGCGAACAGG
rnacentral:rRNA from 1 species